rnacentral:rRNA from 1 species
GAUGAACGCUGGCGGCGUGCCUAAUACAUGCAAGUCGAGCGAACAGAUGAGGAGCUUGCUCCUCUGACGUUAGCGGCGGACGGGUGAGUAACACGUGGAUAACCUACCUAUAAGACUGGGAUAACUUCGGGAAACCGGAGCUAAUACCGGAUAAUAUAUUGAACCGCAUGGUUCAAUAGUGAAAGACGGUUUUGCUGUCACUUAUAGAUGGAUCCGCGCCGCAUUAGCUAGUUGGUAAGGUAACGGCUUACCAAGGCAACGAUGCGUAGCCGACCUGAGAGAGGGAGAGAGGAAGCGGGAGAGGACACGCGGCAGAGAACCCGACGAGAGCGCGCAGUGGGAAAGAUGGAGAAAGUGGCGAAAGCCUGACUCAGAAACGAAGCGGGAGGGAUAAAGGCUACGGGAUGGUAAACCUCUGGAAGGAGAGAAAAACAAAGGGUGAAGGAAAAAGGGACGUCGGACCGUGAGCAAAACAGAAAGCAGCGCCUAACGGCGG